rnacentral:rRNA from 1 species
AUGGGGGUCACGGAGUGCGACGACGGGCCGGCGAUCGGCAUCGACCUCGGGACGACCUACUCCUGCGUGGCCGUCUGGAGGAAGUCGCACAACCGCGUUGAGGUCAUCGCCAACGACCAGGGCAACUUCACCACGCCGUCCUGCGUUGCCUUCACCGAUGCAUGGAGGCUCAUCGGCGACGCGGCUGUGAACCAGGCCGCCAUGAACCCCGUCAACACCAUCUUCGAUGUGAAACGACUUAUUGGCCGGCAUUUUAGCGAUGCGUUGGUGCAAGGAGACAUCAAAACGUCCACGUGGCCAUUCAAAGUUGUCUCAGGUCCCAGCGACCGGCCGAUGAUCGUGGUGCAGUAUAUGGACGAGGAGAAGCAGUUUAAGGCCGAGGAGAUCUCGGCCAUGGUUCUCGGCAAGAUGCGGGAGAUCGCCGAGACCUACCUCGGCACCGAGGUGAAGAAUGCUGUCAUUACCGUCCCGGUCUACUUCACGGAUUCCCAGAGGCAAGCAACCAUUGAUGCCGGCACCAUCGCCGGCCUUAAUGUCAUGCGCAUCAUCAACGAGCCCUCUGCCGCUGCCCUUGCCUAUGGUUUGAGCAAGAUGUCACCCAGUGACGAAGUCAAGACUGUCAAGGCCACGGCCGGUGACACCCACCUCGGCGGCGAGGAUUUCAACACCCACAUGGUAAAACACUUAGUGCGGGAGUUCCUUAAGAAGUACAAGAUGAAUGACAUCAGGAAAAACCCAAGGGCGCUUCGCCGGCUCAGGACGGCCUGCGAGAAGGCCAAGAGGGUGCUCUCCUGUGCGUCCCAGGCCACCGUUGAGAUCGACUCGCUUCACGACGGCAUCGACUUCCAUGGGGUCAUCACCCGCACAAAGUUCGAGGAGCUCAACAUGGACCUCUUCAGCAAUUGCAUCGUGCAUGUGGAGAAGUGCCUGAGCGACGCCAAGAUGGACAAGUCUAUGAUCGAUGACAUCUUGCUCUUGGGUGGCUCCUCCCGGAUCCCAAAAGUCCAAGAGCUCCUUCGGGAUUUCUUCGACGGGAAAGAACUCUGCACAAGUAUCAACCCGGACGAGACCGUCGCCUACGGUGCCGCUGUAAAGGCAGCGCUCCUCAACGACGAGGGCUUCAAGGAAGUGCGGGAUGCAGUCCUGCUCGAGGUCACCCCGCUCUCACUUGGGGUGGAGACGGAAGGUGGUGUCAUGAGCGUGCUGAUCCCGAAGACCACUACCAUCCCGGUCAAGAAGGAGAGGGUUUACACGACUUGCUACGACAACCAGACCCAGGUGCUGUUUCUGGUGUACCAAGGCGAGGGGUCGGAAACCAAGGACAAUAUCCUCCUCGGGAAGUUCACUCUCGGUGGCAUCCCCCGAGCGCCCAGGGGCGAGCCGAAGAUCAACGUCACCUUUGAAAUCGAUGCUGACAGCAUACUGCAGCAUACUGCAGGUACGGGCAACAAGAACAUAACUAUCACCGAUGACUAG